ensembl:snoRNA SNORD58 Small nucleolar RNA SNORD58
UUGCUGUGAUGACUAUCUUAGGACACCUUUGGAAUACCCAUGAAAAAAAAUUAGGUCUUUCUGAGCAAC